CCACCUGUGCAGAAUGAAAGAAGAUCCACAAGAACAAGGACUGAGUCGACUAGGCUGAUUGGAUAUGAGAGGUUUCCAGAUCAAGCAAUCGAUGCAGACGAUGACUUAAUCGAAGAAGCCAUGAUGAUGGCUGAAUCAAAACCAAUUGAUUUGGGCGAAGCCUUGAGCAAUUUGAAUUGGUGUGAAGCCAUGAAAGAAGAACUUAGAGCCAUUAAGAAGAACAAAACUUGGGAGCUUGUCGAAAGAACCAACAAGAAACCAAUUGAUGUGAAAUGGAUCUACAAGGUGAAACGAAAGCCAAAUGGUGAGAUUGCUAAGUAUAAUAAGGAAAGACUGGUGGCCAUAGGUUUUCUAUAA